CUAAAGAAGUAUGGCAUUCCCGAUUCCGUUCGAUAGCAGGCGGUAUAAUCUAUGCUCAGCAAAAACUCUGUCGAUCUUAUGGCGCACCGAUGCAUUGGGAAGUCUCUGCCUGUGCGUUCCUUAAAUUUAUCUGUAAAAAAGGCUAGAGGUUUGUCUAACGAUUGUACUUACCGACGAAGUCGCGCAGACUUAUGCUCGUUUCGGGUGACGUGUGUUCGGCUAAGCAAUCUAACACUUCCUCAUUGAUGUUUGGAUAGCGAUAGCGGAUGCGCAUAAAGUAAUAAGAUGCUUUUGUUCUGCAAUCCAUUGUCUUUGAGCUUCUGAUAAAUAUGAAUUGUAAAUUAUUGUUCGGCACUCAAUGACUUCUGUUGAGUCAAUGAUUUUCAAUCUGUCUGGAACUUGCUAUUUAUACUGCAUCACCUCAUACUGCCUCCAUUCUUGCAUAUAGCAGAUGUGUAUGUAUGAAAUAGACGAGCUGAAUUUUGUUACCUGUUCUUGUUUUGUGAGAAAAACCUACCACCUAGACAAUGCACAAGUUUAAGAUCCAGAAGCUUGGACGAUGUCAACAUCAGAUGAGAUGACACUAGGAGUUUUCGAGAAGAAAAUUUUGCGCAAGAUUUAUGGUCCUCAAAACAUUGGCAACGGCGAAUACCGCAGAUGAGCUGUACGAGCUAUACGACGACAUAGACAUAGUUCAGCGAAUAAAAAGACAGCGGCUAUGCUGGCUAGGUCAUGUUGUCCGAAUGGACGAAAACACUCCAGCUCUGAAAGUGCUCGAUGCAGUACCAGUCGGAGGAAGCCGAGGGAGGGGAAGGGCUCCACUCCGUUGGAGGGACCAGGAGGAGGGCGACCUUACACUUGAGAUCUCCAACUGGGGCCGAACUGAGAAAGAAAGAGAGAAGUGGCGCACUAUCAUCUAUUCGGCUAUAACCGGCUAAACGGUUGCUACGCCAAUCACACACACACAUAUAUAGAUAUUUAGUUCACGAUCGCUAUAUGCUAAGUCUGGCCCCUUGCUGGUUUAGUGUAAGGAAGUGUAGGGAAGUCUCAAGCCUGGUUUUACAUAGAUAACUUUGAUAAUGUAAUUACAUUGAUCAUGUUGUAACAACUUUUUGACUUCUAGCUACAUGGUUACGUUGAAAUAUUUCGUCUCAGUCUGACCAGGCUAUGCAGUCACGUGGGUAACUCUAUGAAGUAUAGUAUAUAUUUUAGCUAUUACUAAGUUAGCAUUAUUUUAUAUUUAUUAAUUUUUCAGUCCAUUACUUUAAAUUGCUCCUCUAUGAGGAAGGGUAUGGUAUUCACUAUCCCUAUAUCUCACCAUCCCUCGUCUUUUAGAUACCUCACUUAAUGCUUGAAAUAUUCAAUAUAAAUACAUAUAACUAAGGAAAUAUAUAUUUAAAUAUAGAAGUUAUUAGUCGAUGGCGAUGAAUAAGAAUAAUCAUUUUUUAAAAUAAAUUUUCGUUAUUUAUUUUGUUUUAAGUUCAUUAAAAAGAAAGACAUUAUAUAUUACACUAACUUAAUGCUGACAUAGUCAUAGUAAGGCAUUUAGUAUUUGGAAAGAAUUUCGAUCAAACGGACUUAAGAAGGCCAUACGGUUCGUAUAAUUUGACACUAACAUAUUUUUAAACCGGUUUUAUCUUGUCAAUUAACCGCCGAAUGUUGGUUUAUCAGUAUAGGCCGUAAACUUAUAAAUAGUUUACCGGAGUCAAAUGAUAUACUUUAGAUGAUCACUUGAAUGUAAAGUAAUGUCCACUGUAACCAUUUAGCUAAAGUACCAUUUAAUUUAGUGGCAAAAAAGGCACACAAAUAAUGAGAAUUUUUGUAUAAGAGUGUUUGAAAAUCAGACUUGUGAAAUAAAUCUAAAUCCAGAGAUAUUGAUGAAACACUUUUAAUUUAGUAAUUUUAUUUUGUAAUUGAACAAGAAGAAGAGCAUUACUUAUCUAAACCCUUAAAUUAAUAAUUUGUUCCUUAAAUAUAUGAUAAAGAAUAAUUUAACAAAAAUAUUUACGUAAUUUUCCACCGGCCGAGUGCCGUCAUAUACUCGCCCAUCUUCCAGCAUAUUUCAUCUCAUAAUAAAGUGUUGUAAGCGCGAUUGUUAACGUUGUACCACAACUGGCGCAACUGUGCAUGCUGGGCCGAAGUAUGCUUCGUAAACGAACGUAAUAGGUGCCUUGGAGCCUCGGAAAAGGCGGUCGUUAUGAAAUGGGCUGGCAUUCAAAUCGGAAAAAAAUGCAAAACGGUAUGAGGGGAAAUUACAUGAGUACAGCGGUUGCAACAUGUUGCAAGAGGUGGAGCAUUUGCAACAUAUCAAGUAAACACAAGUCAAACUAUUAAUUAGCGAGAAAUGCAAAUAAUAAUAAAAUAUUAUCGAAUUGUGCGUGUGCAAAUAAAUACAUAAUUUUAUUGCUUUAAAAAAAUAAAAUUUUUGCAAUUUUUAAAGCUUUGUAAAAAUGGUACAGACAUGGGCACAUAAUGUGCUUCUUGCUAUUUGCUUGGUAAACUAUAUAAAAAUGUUGGCAUUUUGCAUAUCCACCGUGCGUUGGUAUAUUUCUUGUAAAUAUUUACUUGCGCACAUAUGCAAGCUUGUUGCCAAUUGGUUGCGCAAUAGGUACAUAUGUAAACAAAGCACAUAUGCAUGUACAUGACAGCCAACAAAAUACCAGCAACAAUGUAGGCCGCUCCUGGAUCCGGUGGAGGAUGUUUGUAACUUCCGCACGCACUUCAAGCGAACGAGUGAAAAAGUGCUAAAAAAGAAUCAUUGAAUUGCAGUAAAACAAAGAAAAAACUAUGUAGGCGCAAAUGCUUAACCCACUGCGCGCCAACUUCUAUUUAGAGAUUUUUAAUCAAUUAAUGUAUUUAUUUAUGUUGUUUAAGUUACUUGUGUCGAUUAUGUGAGUUUUGAGCUUUUCUUGAAUCACACGACCUUAAGUUUAAGGCAAUUUGUUUCAAUUUCUCAAAAAAUCAUUUAAUAUAUGUAUAAAAUUCUAGAAAUUUAUAAAAACUAUAGUGUUCUAGAUUAUUCAUAACGCGUUUAAGCAUUUUAAAAAUACAGUGUUUAGCGUCUCACCUACGUAUAGCUUCAAAAUUUUUAGAUUUAUUCUUCUUCUUGACUGGCGUAGACACCGCUUACGCGGUUAUAGCCGAGUCCAAAACAGCGCGCCACGUAUCCCUCCUUCUGGCAGUUUGGCGCCAAUUGGUUAUACCAAGCGAAGCCAAGUCCCUCUCCACCUGGUCCUUCCAUCGGAGUGGAGGUCUCCCUCUUCCUCGGCUUCCACCAGCGGGUACUGCAUCGAAUACUUUCAGAGCUGGAGCACUUUCAUCCAUUCGAACAAUAUGACCUAGCCAGCGUAGCCGCUGUCUUUUUAUUCGCUGGACUAUGUCUAUGUCGUCGAAUAACACAUACAGCUCAUCGUUCCAUCGUCUGCGGUAUUCGCCGUUGCCAAUGUUUAAGGGACCAUAAAUCUUCCGCAAAACCUUUCUCUCGAAAACUCCUAGUGCCGUCUCAUCGGAUGUUGACAUCGUCCACGCUUCUGCACCGUAAAGUAGGACGGGAAUGUUGAGGGACUUGUAGAGUUUGGUUUUUGUUCGUCGAGAGAGGACUUUACUUUUCAAUUGCCUACUUAGUCCAUAGUAGCACCUGUUGGCAAGAGUGAUUCUGCGUUGGAUUUCCAGGCUGACAUUGUUAUUGCUGUUAAUGCUGGU